rnacentral:rRNA from 1 species
GACGAACGCUGGCGGCGUGCUUAACACAUGCAAGUCGAACGGGCCUUGUCCCCUUUUUUUUUGGGGGUGGGGUUAGUGGCGAACGGGUGAGUAACACGUGAGUAACCUGCCCCUCACUUCUGGAUAACCGCUUGAAAGGGUGGCUAAUACGGGGUGUUCUGGCCUGCUCGCAUGGGUGGGUUUGGAAAGAUUCGACCGGUUUUGGUUGUUUUGGUGGGGGAUGGGCUCGCGGCCUAUCAGCUUGUUGGUGGGGUGAUGGCCUGCCAAGGCUUUGACGGGUAGCCGGGCUGAGAGGGUGGGCGGUCACACUGGGACUGAGACACGGCCCAGACUCCUACGGGAGGCAGCAGUGGGGAAUAUUGCACAAUGGGCGCAAGCCUGAUGCAGCGACGCCGCGUGAGGGAUGGAGGCCUUCGGGUUGUGAACCGCUUUCGCCAGUGAAGAAGGUCCUGCUCUUUGUGGUGGGGUUGACGGUAGCUGGGUUAAUGAAGCGCCGGCUAACUACGUG